rnacentral:rRNA from 1 species
AUUGAACGCUGGCGGCAUGCUUUACACAUGCAAGUCGAACGGUAACAGGCCUUCGGGUGCUGACGAGUGGCGAACGGGUGAGUAAUGCAUCGGAACGUACCCAGGGGUGGGGGAUAACGCAGCGAAAGCUGUGCUAAUACCGCAUGUGAUCUGAGGAUGAAAGCGGGGGACCGAGCAGCAAUGUUUGGCCUCGCGCCUUUGGAGCGGCCGAUGUCGGAUUAGCUAGUUGGUGGGGUAAAGGCCUACCAAGGCGACGAUCCGUAGCUGGUCUGAGACGACGACCAGCCACACUGGGACUGAGACACGGCCCAGACUCCUACGGGAGGCAGCAGUGGGGAAUUUUGGACAAUGGGCGCAAGCCUGAUCCAGCAAUGCCGCGUGCGGGAAGAAGGCCUUCGGGUUGUAAACCGCUUUUGGCAGGAACGAAACGGUGUCCGCUAAUACCGGGCGCUAAUGACGGUACCUGCAGAAUAAGCACCGGCUAACUACGUG